rnacentral:lncRNA from 1 species
GAUGGGCUGGGUAGGGCGGUAGCGGCCGAGGCCGGUGGGUGAUUUGAAAGGCGAUGGCCGCUUCGCAGGCGGUGGCGAUGUGGGAGGACGCGCAGGUGGAGGACGGUGUAAUGGUGAUUUGAAAGGCGAUGGCCGCUUCGCAGGCGGUGGCGAUGUGGGAGGACGCGCAGGUGGAGGACGGUGUAAUGGUGAUUUGAAAGGCGAUGGCCGCUUCGCAGGCGGUGGCGAUGUGGGAGGACGCGCUGGUGGAGGACGGUGUAAUGGUGAUUUGAAAGGCGAUGGCCGCUUCGCAGGCGGUGGCGAUGUGGGAGGACGCGCUGGUGGAGGACGGUGUAAUGGUGAUUUGAAAGGCGAUGGCCGCUUCGCAGGCGGUGGCGAUGUGGGAGGACGCGCAGGUGGAGGACGGUGUAAUGGUGAUUUGAAAGGCGAUGGCCGCUUCGCAGGCGGUGGUGAUGUCGGAGAACGCGCAGGUGGAGGACGGCGAAAUGGUGUGGGGGAAGGCGAUGGAGGCGCUGUAAAGCUUGGUGAGCGGAAUAAUGUUGGUGACGGUGACGGCGAAGACA